AUAGACAACUAGGAUGUUGGCUUAGAAGCAGCCAUACAUUUAAAGAGUGCGUAAUAGCUCACUAGUCGAGAGAACCUGCGCCGAAAAUAAUCGGGGCUAAAACACACCACCGAAGCUACGGAUUUCCUGCUUAAGGUAGGAAGUGGUAGAGGAGCAUACUGCAAGGACGAAGCCUGAUUGAGAGAGAAGGUGGACGAAGCAGUAGAGAGAAUGCCGGAAUGAGUAGCGAGAUAUAUGUGAGAACCAUAUAGGCCGAAUAUCUAAGGUUUCCUGAGUGAAGCUAAUCUGCUCAGGGUAAGUCGGGACCUAAGGCGAGGACGAGAGUCGUAGUCGAUGGACAACUGGUAGAGAUUCCAGUACUAUGUAUAAUCAGAACUGUGGGGACGCAGGAGGAUAGAUGGACCGCGGAAAGGGAAGACGCGGCCAAGUACAAAGUCAAGUUAGGUAGGCAAAUCCGCCAAAUGAUGAUGAAGUACGACGGGGACUGAAAGAAAGUAAGGAAGUCAUUGAAUCCACACUGCCGAGAAAAGCCGCUAUAGUGUUAUACAUACCCGUACCGUAAACCGACACAGGUAGAUGAGGAGAAAAUCCACAGGCCGACGGGAGAAGUGUUGUUAAGGAACUCGGCAAAAUGACCCCGUAACUUAGGGAGAAGGGGAGCCACGCAAGUGGCCGCAGAAAAGAGGCUCAAGCGACUGUUUAGCAAAAACACAGGUCUCUGCGAAACCGAAAGGUGAAGUAUAGGGGCUGACACCUGCCCGGUGCUGGAAGGUUAAAAGGAGAGGUUCGACGUAAGUCAAAGCUUUGAAUUCAAGCCCCAGUAAACGGCGGCCGUAACUAUAACGGUCCUAAGGUAGCGAAAUUCCUUGUCAGGUAAGUUCUGACCCGCACGAAAGGUGUAACGAUUUGAGCACUGUCUCGACAACACGCCCGGUGAAAUUGAAGAACCAGUGAAGAUACUGGUUACCCGCAACAGGACGGAAAGACCCCAUGGAGCUUUACUGCAGCCUGAUACUGGGAUUCGAUGAUAUAUGUACAGGAUAGGAGGGAGACUAGGAAUCCGGGACGCCAGUUUCGGAGGAGUCGACGGUGGGAUACCUCUCUUAUGUUAUUGGAUUUCUAACUUGGCACCGUGAUCCGGUGUGAGGACAAUGUCAGGCGGGCAGUUUGACUGGGGCGGUCGCCUCCUAAAAGGUAACGGAGGCGCUCGAAGGUCACCUCAGAAUGAUUGGAAACCAUUCAAAGAGUGUAAAGGCAAAAGGUGGCUUGACUGCGACACCGACGGGUGGAGCAGGUACGAAAGUAGGACUUAGUGAUCCGGUGGUAUUAAGUGGGAAUGCCAUCGCUCAACGGAUAAAAGCUACCCUGGGGAUAACAGGCUUAUCUCCCCCAAGAGUCCACAUCGACGGGGAGGUUUGGCACCUCGAUGUCGGCUCAUCGCAUCCUGGGGCUGAAGUAGGUCCCAAGGGUUGGGCUGUUCGCCCAUUAAAGCGGUACGCGAGCUGGGUUCAGAACGUCGUGAGACAGUUCGGUCCCUAUCCGUUGUGGGCGCAGGAAAUUUGAGAGGAGCUGUCCUUAGUACGAGAGGACCGGGAUGGACGUACCUCUGGUGUACCGGUUGCAGACCAACUGCACAGCCGGGUAGCUAUGUAUGGAACGGAUAAACGCUGAAGGCAUCUAAGCGUGAAGCCGCCCUCAAGAUAAGAUUUCCCAUUCU
rnacentral:rRNA from 1 species